rnacentral:lncRNA from 1 species
GCCAUGUCCAUCAUGAACUCCUUCAUCAACGACAUCUUCGAGAAGCUCGCCGGCGAGGCCGCCAAGCUCGCCCGCUACAACAAGAAGCCCACCAUCACCUCCCGGGAGAUCCAGACCUCCGUCCGCCUCGUCCUCCCCGGCGAGCUCGCCAAGCACGCCGUCUCCGAGGGAACCAAGGCCGUCACCAAGUUCACCUCCUCUUAGAUUCCGCUGCCUGUAUCUGCAACUAGAAGUAGUGUUAGUGCUGGCUGGAAAUAGUUGAAAGCUUGCCAAUGCUUUGUUGGCUCGUUGAUUGUAAGGGGUGAAUUUGUGCUGCUUUUGGCAAACUAAGAAUUCGAAAGUAAAACGAUUCAUUUCUGCUGCUGCGUUAGUAAUUUCUGCUGUGAUAUGGUUGUUACUAGGUAGCCGUACUGAUCUGCCAUACAAUCAUGCUUUUGUAGCAGUGCAAAUUUCCAGAUUAUUCAUUUGUUGACAAGUAGAUAGGCCGGGUUUAAUUGAAUUCUGUUCUUGUUUCCAGAGUAUCAGACGGAUGGGCUUAAUGUUGCAAGGAAGAAUAAGAGCAAUCCAAUGGAUUGCCUGCUGUUUC